rnacentral:rRNA from 1 species
UACGAAGGGGGCUAGCGUUGCUCGGAAUUACUGGGCGUAAAGGGCGCGUAGGCGGCACUGUUAGUCAGGCGUGAAAUUCCUGGGCUCAACCUGGGGACUGCGCUUGAUACUGGCGAUCUUGAGUCCGGGAGAGGUGAGUGGAACUGCGAGUGUAGAGGUGAAAUUCGUAGAUAUUCGCAAGAACACCAGUGGCGAAGGCGGCUCACUGGCCCGGUACUGACGCUGAGGUGCGAAAGCGUGGGGAGCAAACAGG